CACUGACACCGUCCUCUCCUGUUUCUCUUGUCUCUCUAGCCGCUUAUUUUCAGUCUCUUUCGCAGGCUCCUUCUCCGCCUCCCAUCCUACCUGUGGCUGCCCCUCCAAACUCAGCACUCAAUAAAUAUCAUAGAUCGAUUGAAUAAGUGAUUGGAGCCUUCCAGUCGAUUGGGGAGAAGAGAAAGGUACCUUCUGUUUUCAAGGAUGAACCUGAGGCUGACAGCACCCGGGGAGGGGCUCCAGGCCAGCAAGGCCCUGACCACAGGCUCCGCACUCUCUGGCCAUCCUAGCUCUUACUAUUGUGGAGCAGCAGUUGGGGUGCCGGAUUAGGCCCGGAGUUGGGGGCCUCCACUUUUGCGGUCCUCGUGGGGUCUUCCCCCAUGCUCAGCAGGCAGUCACACACCAGCGGCCUCCCAGGCCCAUCCCUUCAGGCUCGGCUGACCUGGGGAAAACGAUAUGUUAGAGUGGAGCUGAGUAGGGUUAGCAGGCGGUGGGCACUCCCGCGCAGCUGGUGGAAGAACAAAUUGAAAGCCGAUCCCUUUCCCCUCCGAAGCCACCUGCCUAUCUUACCUUCUAGGUCCACCGCUGUUCCCUCCUGCUGGCCUUUUAAGUGGAUGUAGCUCUGGGGACUGUUAAAAGCAUUUUUAUUUCUCUGCUAAUAAGCACCGGGGAACAUUUCUGCUUGCCCGGUAAUGGCCAUUUGAGUUAAAUAUAAUGACUGUAAGACUCACACUGGAAAAGCCUUCCAUUUUUACAUUUUCCCCAAAGAGCCUGUUUAGAAAUAAAAAUGAUUUCUUCCACUGAAUGAAUUUAAAAUGUCAGCUCACAAUGAGCAGUUUAAAACAAAAGAAAAGCAAGACUCCUAAUAAUUAUCACUUUCUCUACAGUGAGCCAUUCAUCCUCAAGGAUCCCAAAGCGCUGUUCACAUGAAGAUGCUGUGACGCCUAGGUGUUUUGAAAAUCUUUAACAAUGCUGAAUGCUAGAUGAACACAACUUAUGUAAAUAAUCCUAAUAGCAAUAAUAAGGCAGUGAUAAUUGUUUGCAGGUGUCAUUUCCCUGGGGGGUGGGGAGAGCCAUUGCCUUCUCUUGCAAGAGAAAAUGCUAAUAGUUUCAUUUUCGUGCCUUAAUUAGCCCGCUGUUGUCCUAAUUACUCUGAGUCCUGAAAUCAGGUUUCCUUACUCAUUCUCCUGUCUCAUGCAGGCUCACACACACUUAGACAUUUCUCUUAUUUUUUUAUGAAAACACUCAUCACGGCAGGAUCCUGCCAUUUCCCAGAACAGGGACAGCUGGCAGGACUUCCACAGAUGCUGCAACCAUUCUCACAUACCAGUAAUAAAUAAAUUUAAUCAAUCUGUGGAUCCCUAGACUGUUACAUCUUCCCAUAAUCGGAUAAUUUUGCUCAUCUUCUGAUUUCAGAGUCUUUACAGAUCUCUGCAUGGCAAGCAAAGUCUCUCAUCAAAUAAUGACCUGAAAUUUAAUUCAAAGCAUAAGACAACAUUCACUGAAUGAAGAAUUGCAUGCAUUUUUGCAAGAAGCUGCAGAAUUUGAAGCUUGUUUUGUAGUAAUCUUUCAGCUCUAGUGAAGCAUUUGUCCAAAGUUGUCCUGCCUUCACAGAAGACCUACAGCAGGACAACUCUUUCUAAAUUCCUCUGUACACUUCUUAUCUCCUUUCUCCCUCAGAGGCCUCAACAAUCAUUUUUUACAUAUUCAUUCACUUUCUUGAAAACUGGCACGAAGCUUAAUUCCCAAAAUUUAACUGAUGGUGAAGUAACUAACUUUUCUAUCUGUUUCAGCAUCUUGCAGUGACGCGAUGUUCUUAUUGAAUGAAUCCUCUGAAUGUGAUGCAGUUAACUGAUAACUGCAUCAACCAUUUCUCAAUUUUCUGCGGCUGUAUGCUCAGGGGUCAUGCCCUGAGAAUCUGGGACAGACUGGGAACAUAGCUGCCUUAAUUUCAGCCGAGACUUCUUGCCGUUUGCCGUCUUACAAAAUUACCAAAGCUUGAGAAAUGAACAAAAAAGCAGAAUCUGCUUCCCAAAGGUCAGAGCAAAUUGAUUUUACCACUCGUGAUAAUUGCUGCAACAAGCACGACGGCUAAAUCGCUACCUUGGAGUUUCUACUAAGCAAGCAGCCGGCCGUCAUGUUCAUUUUAAGCAGGUCGCUGAAAGAACCACGACAGUGACUAUUUUUCCUGCACAAAGUUCAAAGCGGUGAAAGCGUCUAUAAAUCCUUAGUCUGCCGCCCUCAGAAAAAUGAAAAACAUGUGCCUUACGUGAUUGCCAAAGGACAUGACUUUAUUUAGUAUACAAUAUUCACGUGGUUCAGUACAACAAAUUAUAAAAUAGUUUUCUAUAAGAUCUCACCCAUAGGAUGUUGAAACCAGAAAACCAUCGGCCUUAGGAAAGCUGACGGGCUCCCCUCUCACCGAGAAAACGCUCUCCGUGACCAGACAGAAGCUGAGGUCUCCCUGGCCUAAAGGUUGUGCUGCAGGAAGAAGAACACAGUGGCGGGGGCCUCACUGAGAUUGGAGACGACACAAGUCAAAGUCUACACGAAGCCGGAAGGCCU